AGCAGCCGCGGUAAUUCCAGCUCCAAUAGCGUAUAUUAAAGUUGUUGCAGUUAAAAAGCUCGUAGUUGAAUUUCGGGAUUGACAUGUUGGUCGUGCCUUAAGGGGUAUGAACUGGCAUUGUCGAUUUCUCACCUUCUGGAGAAUCACGAUGCUCUUAAUUGGGUGUCGUGUGGAUCCAGGACCUUUACCUUGAAAAAAUUAGAGUGUUUAAAGCAGGCAUUUUGCUCGAAUACACUAGCAUGGAAUAAUAAAAUAGGACGGCUUGGUUCUAUUUUGUUGGUUUCUAGGAUCACCGUAAUGAUUAAUAGGGAUAGUUGGGGGCAUUAGUAUUCAAUUGUCAGAGGUGAAAUUCUUGGAUUUAUUGAGGACUAACUACUGCGAAAGCAUUUGCCAAGGAUGUUUUCAUUAAUCAAGAACGAAAGUUAGGGGAUCGAAGACGAUCAGAUACCGUCGUAGUCUUAACCAUAAACUAUGCCGACUAGGAAUCAGACGAUGUUAAUUUUUUAAUGACUCG
rnacentral:rRNA from 1 species